GUGGGGAAUAUUGCACAAUGGGGGAAACCCUGAUGCAGCGACGCCGCGUGAGUGAAGAAGUAUUUCGGUACGUAAAGCUCUAUCAGCAAGGAAGAAAAUGACGGUACUUGACUAAGAAGCCCCGGCUAACUACGUGCCAGCAGCCGCGGUAAUACGUAGGGGGCAAGCGUUAUCCGGAUUUACUGGGUGUAAAGGGAGCGUAGACGGUAUGGUAAGUCAGAUGUGAAAGCCCGGGGCUCAACCCCGGGACUGCUUUGGAAACUGUGGUGCUGGAGUGCAGGAGAGGUAAGUGGAAUUCCUAGUGUAGCGGUGAAAUGCGUAGAUAUUAGGAGGAACACCAGUGGCGAAGGCGGCUUACUGGACUGUAACUGACGUUGAGGCUCGAAAGCGUGGGGAGCAAACAGGAUUAGAAACCCUAGUAGUCC
rnacentral:rRNA from 1 species